AAAUUGAAGAGUUUGAUCAUGGCUCAGAUUGAACGCUGGCGGCAGGCCUAACACAUGCAAGUCGAACGGUAACAGGAAGCAGCUUGCUGCUUUUGCUGCUU
rnacentral:rRNA from 1 species